rnacentral:rRNA from 1 species
AACGAACGCUGGCGGCGUGCUUAACACAUGCAAGUCGAGCGCGAAAGGGGGUUCGCCCCCGAGUAGAGCGGCAGACGGGUGAGUAACACGUGGGUAACCUACCCCAGAGCGGGGAAUAACAGUUCGAAAGGACUGCUAAUACCGCAUAAGACCACGUCCUUGAGGGGAUGAGGUAAAAGGCUUCGGCCACUUUGGGAGGGGCCCGCGUCCGAUUAGCUAGUUGGUGAGGUAACGGCUCACCAAGGCGACGAUCGGUAGCUGGUCUGAGAGGAGGAUCAGCCACACUGGUACUUAGACACGGACCAGACUCCUACGGGAGGCAGCAGUGGGGAAUAUUGCGCAAUGGGCGAAAGCCUGACGCAGCAACGCCGCGUGGGUGAAGAAGGCCUUCGGGUCGUAAAACCCUUUCGGAUAGAAAGAAAACUCUUACUCUAACAUAGUGAGAGAAUGACGGUACUAUCAUAAGAAGCACCGGCUAACUACGUGCCAGCAGCCGCCGUAACAC